AUUGAACGCUGGCGGCAUGCCUUACACAUGCAAGUCGAACGGUAACAGGUCUUCGGAUGCUGACGAGUGGCGAACGGGUGAGUAAUACAUCGGAACGUGCCUAGUAGUGGGGGAUAACUACUCGAAAGAGUGGCUAAUACAGCAUGAGAUCUACGGAUGAAAGCAGGGGAUCGCAAGGCCUUGUGCUACUAGAGCGGCCGAUGGCAGAUUAGGUAGUUGGUGGGAUAUAAGCUUACCAAGCCGACGAUCUGUAGCUGGUCUGAGAGGACGAUCAGCCACACUGGGACUGAGACACGGCCCAGACUCCUACGGGAGGCAGCAGUGGGGAAUUUUGGACAAUGGGCGCAAGCCUGAUCCAGCAAUGCCGCGUGCAGGAUGAAGGCCUUCGGGUUGUAAACUGCUUUUGUACGGAACGAAAAGUCCCGGGUUAAUACCCUGGGGUCAUGACGGUACCGUAAGAAUAAGCACCGGCUAUCUACGUGCCAGCCGCCGCAGUAA
rnacentral:rRNA from 1 species